UCAAAUUAUAUUCUUUAUUCAUGAGCUAGGCUGCUAUACUAUCGGUAGCACAGACGUUUCCGUACUACAAAGUUUUUUUCAAUGAUGCGGUUUCUAAAUCAAUGAUCGGCUACAUUACACUUGAUCUACACUAUUGAAACUAUUUGAAAACCAAAUUUUAUAAUUUUUUAAUAUUAUUUGGCUAGUAAUUAAAAGGUCUCAAAAUUGAC
rnacentral:lncRNA from 1 species